rnacentral:lncRNA from 1 species
CCGUUACUAGAGGGGAAUCAACGCCACAAUAACAUACCAACUUCGUUUUACCCAGACAUGAUGACCCACUCACUGUUGAACUUGAUGAAUAUGGUUCACCCAUUAUUUUUCCUUCAAAUCGAUCCAAUAACAAAGGUUGGUUGAUGAACUGCAAUUCGAAAAGAAGAAAAGGAAGGAACACAAAAGGACUUGAUGAAGAAGGAAUGAAUCGAAAGAAGAAAAGAAGAAGAAAGGAAGAAGAUCGAUUAGAGGAAAAAUGGAGAUUGGGGCUUUUAAAACCCUAACAUAUUAUCGUUGAACAGCUCUCACACGUGCCACAACUUGAUUU